rnacentral:rRNA from 1 species
AUUGAACGCUGGCGGCAGGCCUAACACAUGCAAGUCGAGCGGUGCUGGCGACGGGCGAGUAAUGACUAGGUAUCUGCCCGGUCGUGGGGGCUGAGGUCAGGUCAGGGGCGCUAAUACCACAUACUUUUAGCUGAGCCUAGGUCGGAUUAGCUAGUUGGUGGGGUAACGGCUUACCAAGGCGACGAUCCAUAACUGGUCUGAGAGGAUGAUCAGUCACACUGGAACUGAGACACGGUCCAGACUCCUACGGGAGGCAGCAGUGGGGAAUAUUGCGCAAUGGGCGAAAGCCUGACCCAGCAACGCCGCGUGUGUGAAGAAGGUCUUCGCAUUGUAAAGCACUUUAAGUAGGGAGGCGUUACCAACAGAAUAAGCACCGGCUAACUUCGUGCCAGCAGCCGCGGUAAUUC